rnacentral:rRNA from 1 species
AAAGAUAGCAUAUGUGCGUGACAAUCAGUGACAGAAAUUGUCGAACCACGCCAUGCCUGCGUGGAGGAGGAAGGCCUCUGGAUUGUAAACUUCUUUUAUCUGGGACGAAAAAAGGCUUUCUAGAUCGUCUGACGGUACCAGAUGAAUAAGCACCGGCUAACUCCGUGCCAGCAGCCGACCUAAUACGGAGGCAGCAAGCGUUAUCCGGAUUCACUGGGUUUAAAGGGUGCGUAGGUGGGUUGGUAAGUCAGUGGUGAAAUCUUCGAGCUUAACUCCGAAACUGCCAUUGAUACUAUCAGUCUUGAAUAUUGUGGAGGUUAGCGGAAUAUGUCAUGUAGCGGUGAAAUGCUUAGAUAUGACAUAGAACACCAAUUGCGAAGGCAGCUGGCUACACAUAUAUUGACACUGAGGCACGAAAGCGUGGGGAUCAAACAGGAUUAGUCC